UACAGCUCGUUACUCAGCACACACAUUCUCUACAUGGCACGGCUGGGCUUCACAAAUACAUUUUAGGAGGUAAUCGUUAAGAACUUUGUGUAAAUUAAAGUGGGCACAAGUGUUGCUGAGUGCUGAGUUUCAGUACUGUGUGUAGUGAAGUGUAAAACCAGCUCAUCCUAGAGGUGCUCCGCGCUCUCGAAGAGGCUGGGAACUGCUGCUCUGAGCCCUUGGGUUCAACGUCACUUUCUUCCUGCUGUUCCUCACCUCUUGUACUAAACGUUUACAGAGAGUAUAUGAGGGGAAGUCGAUCACAUUUAACUCUAUUUGUGUUUUAAGGUCCUGGGAGCUGCAGGCACUGUUUGACAGGUCAGCCCCAUCCUCUGCCCUUCAGUUCCAGGGUUUUAGUGAAACCACUACUGGAAAUGAGUACCUAACAGCUGGCUUUAAGAACAGGUUUGCGGAACAUUUUCUAGGCAGCCGUUCUUUUUGAAAGUGGAGGAUUUUUUUCUGGGGCCUUGUUUGGUGCCCAGCCCUUGUAGCACUUACAGGACUGGAUCGCCCUGGACGCAUUUCCUGAAGAACAGCAGAACGGGCCAUUGCUGAACCGAAGGAGUAAGGAGCCAGAACCCAAGAAAGACAAAGACAGGGACGAGGAAGAAACAAGGGAGAAGACCUCCUGUUGAGAUGGAGCGAGAUGGGGCUGAGGAUAUGCACUGACAAGCUUGUGGGAGAAGGUUCUGGAUGCCUUCAUGUACACUGUGUUCUCUGUUUGCAGUGUGGGUUAAUUAUUCGGGAUUCCCAAUUUGUGAUUCCCACUGGCCUCUUGCUGUGGAGCCUCAACUUUCCUUGCAUCCUGGAAGAAGGUGGUGUGUCUUGUCCUUUGUGCUUCUUGGUUUAUCCUGCUCUGGCCUCCCACGCUUCCUCCCUGUCGGGAACCAACAGGUGGAAUGGGAGGAUCCUUAUGCGUUGCCGUGAACCCUGCGGAAUGCAGGGUGGCACAGGCACAAUAUCCGAAACACGUGAUCCAGAGGCUUGGUCAAUGUGAGAAGAAAUUAAUCCGGUAACCAGAGAAAUCCGAGAAAGGACCUGAAGCAGGAUCGUUUUCCUCCCAGCUCACCUGCCUCUUCUUAAAUGGAGGGAAAACGCACUCCUUUCAUUAGACAUCUUCAAGAAGAAGACAACAAGUUCAAGAAGCCAGCACAGACUCCGGUCUGCAUCCUGGAAAAGUGCAGGGCUGAAGGUCAGAUGCUCAGUGGUGGGUGUUUUCUGAAAGUGGUUGUCUUUCCGGUUGGCGGCUCAUCAGAGGAAGAUAUAUGUGAUCUUGGACAUCUGCAACAUCUGGAGAUCAUUCUUCUGGUGCAUUAUUUUCAAAAUCAACAUCUCAUCUUGUUGUACGAGUUGUUUUCUGUUUGCUUUGAUUCCAGAGGAAUCAGAGGAAAGCUGUAACACUUUACCGCUCCAAAUUUAUGCUAUAAAGUAGGACCCAAACAAGCAAGUAACUCUCAGUGGCUUCUGUUAAUCUCUGUAAUAAGAGAUAGUAGAAAUGUUCCAAAUAGCUAAAGUAACACAUGCGUAACCGUAGUGCCUUUGAACACCACCAAAAGUCAUGUCACAGAUGCCUCAAGGACAUGUGUUCUCCCUCAGUAUUUUCCAUAAAAUCUAUUAUGUCCUGUCAAGGCAGAAAUAUUUGUGGUGCAACAAGACGUCUGGAAUUUUAAUGGGUCAUAGUCACAGGUACACUUAAAUUGGGUUGACUUCCCUCUGUAGAAAAAAACUAAGAUGUAUUGAAUGUAUAUUUAAAGAAAGCAGAACUAUUAAAUAUGUUUUGUUGCUGAAAUUAUUGGAACACUUAUUUUGGACACGUUGAGAUGUGUUGAUUUUAACAAUUUAAUAAAAAAACUUUAAUCUUU